rnacentral:rRNA from 1 species
GACGAACGCUGGCGGCGCGCUUAACACAUGCAAGUCGAACGGAAAGGCCUGCUUUCCCUUGUGGAUUGCGGGUACUCGAGUGGCGAACGGGUGAGUAACACGUGAGUGAUCUGCCCCCAACUUGGGUAUAAGCCUGGGAAACUGGGUCUAAUUCCCGAUAGGACUGCAGGGUGGUGCCAGUGGUGGAAAACGAUUUUCUGGUGGUUGGGGAUGAGCUCGCGGCCUAUCAGCUUGUUGGUGGGGUAAUGGCCUACCAAGGCGGCGACGGGUAGCCGGCCUGAGGGGGUGGACGGCCACAUUGGGACUGCGAUACGGCCCGGACUCCUACGGGAAGCAGCAGUGGGGGAUAUUGGACGAUGGGCGGAAGCCUGAUGCAGCGACGCCGCGUGGUGGAUGACGGCCUUCGGGUUGUAAGCUCCUUUCGACCGCGAGGAAGCCACCUGGUUGGAAGGGUGGUGACGGUAGUGGUAGAAGAAGCACCGGCUAACUACGUG